GCGUGAGUGGUAUAACGGUUAGCAUUGUUGCUUCCAAGCAUAGACCCGGUUCGACUCCGGCUAACGCA
rnacentral:tRNA from 1 species